rnacentral:rRNA from 1 species
AGUGAACGCUGGCGGUAGGCCUAACACAUGCAAGUCGAACGGCAGCACAGUAAGAGCUUGCUCUUACGGGUGGCGAGUGGCGGACGGGUGAGGAAUACAUCGGAAUCUACUUUUUCGUGGGGGAUAACGUAGGGGAACUUACGCUAAUACCGCAUACGACCUACGGGUGAAAGCAGGAGAUCUUCGGACCUUGCGCGAUUGAAUGAGCCGAUGUCGGAUUAGCUAGUUGGCGGGGUAAAGGCCCACCAAGGCGACGAUCCGUAGCUGGUGUGAGAGGAUGAUCGGCGGCACUGGAACUUAGACACGGACCAGACGCCUACGGGAGGCAGCAGUGGGGAAUAGUGGACAAUGGGCGCAAGCCUGAUCCAGCCAUACCGCGUAGGUGAAGAAGGCCUUCGGGUUGUAAAGCCCUUUUGUGGGGAAAGAAAAGCAGCAGGUUAAUACCCCGCUGUUCUGACGGUACCCAAAGAAGAAGCACCGGCUAACUUCGUG